rnacentral:rRNA from 1 species
GGACGAACGCUGGCGGCGUGCUUAACACAUGCAAGUCGAGCGGUAAGGCCCUUUCGGGGGUACACGAGCGGCGAACGGGUGAGUAACACGUGGGUGACCUGUCCCUCUAGCUCUGGGAUAAGCCUGGGAAACUGGGUCUAAUACCGGAUAUGACCUCCAUGACGCAUGUUGUGGGGUGAAAGCCUUGUGCGGCUGAGGAUGGG